rnacentral:rRNA from 1 species
CCUACGGGUGGCAGCAGUGGGGAAUAUUGGACAAUGGGGGGAACCCUGAUCCAGCCAUGCCGCGUGUGUGAAGAAGGCCCUCGGGUUGUAAAGCACUUUCAGUGAGGAAGAACGCCUGGUGGUUAAUACCCAUCAGGAAAGACAUCACUCACAGAAGAAGCACCGGCUAACUCCGUGCCAGCAGCCGCGGUAAUACGGAGGGUGCGAGCGUUAAUCGGAAUUACUGGGCGUAAAGCGCGCGUAGGUGGCUUGAUAAGCCGGUUGUGAAAGCCCCGGGCUCAACCUGGGAACGGCAGCCGGAACUGUCAAGCUAGAGUGCAGGAGAGGAAGGUAGAAUUCCCGGUGUAGCGGUGAAAUGCGUAGAUAUCGGGAGGAAUACCAGUGGCGAAGGCGGCCUUCUGGACUGACACUGACACUGAGGUGCGAAAGCGUGGGUAGCAAACAGGAUUAGAUACCCUAGUAGUC